CAUAUCUCAGAUUGCCCACUUAGUGAGACAGGUCAUUAGCCCUCCAAGCCUCCAUUUCUUCAUGGAUCAAAUGGUGAUGUGUGCAAAAUGGGGCAGCCUAUAGGGAUGGCAUGAGGACAAAAUAAGGCUUGACACAGUGGUUACCUCCCCUAUACAAUGAUGAUGGAUGAAUCAACUCACAAAAGCUGUGUGGGGCCAGUUCACACUCUGUCCACAACUCUGUAACAAAGGCCAACUGUCUGCUCAGCCAACCCAUGUUUCUCUUUUAGCUUGAAAAUAAAAGGAGAAAACUGAAAGGAAAAUGUAAAAGAGAAGAAAGUCUUUUUAGAAAAGCAGAGGAGGUCUCUCCUGUACUCUAGCCAUAUCACUAGCCUCACCAACAACCUUCCCCUAUUCUGGUUAACUUGGAUUGUCAUGGGCUAUUCACCUUCCUCUUCUGAAGAAAACCACCAGUUGAUGCCUCCUGUCAUCUCAUACAAAAUAGAUCCUGUUCCAAACAGCUACAAGCACAGGGCAAAGCCCUUCAGAGAUUCUGAGACAAGAGCUCAAUCUCGUUCCAGGUUGAUAAAUCAUUCAAGGUGUCCCCACGCCCAUUUUGCAACGCCAUCGUUCAUAAACUAAUUUGACUUGAAUCUAGCUAAAAACAAAGGGGAGCAAUUGCUUUAGAAUCUGGAACCUGGAAUCAUCAUGGUGCAACUUUGGAGAGGGUCAGCCUUUCCAAUUAGGGAAUGUGGUCUUUAGGAGUUGGGAUCAGACGAGAUCUCAGGGAGUCUUCUGUUCUGCAUCUGGGAGAUUUUUCAUGUCACUCCUUGGCUUCUGCCUUCAUAAAACAAAGAAGUUUGUCUUGAUGGCCUUGAAGACCUCUUGUAGUUGCAAAGUUUAAUGCUUGCAGCUAAAGCAGAAGCCCAGGUCUUGCUUUGCAACAUGUCAGACAAAUCAACGGUGGGAAGAAGUUUCAAUAAUGUGAUCACAGGCAGAAUGAAAAUGCUUCAGCACAACCUACAAGCACAUUUUCUCCUUCCUCCAUCCCCUUUAGUGAAGGCCCAAAAUUCUGGUGUGUAAGAAGGUUUUAGAAGGAAAGGAAUGUCAAUUUGGCAUAGGCUUUGUAUUCUGAGGGAGAUAAAGUGUACUCACCAUUUUUCAAAAGGAAUAUGAUGUAUGUGUGACACCCUGACAUAAGUAAUUCUUGGAAAUAAUUUUCAAUGUUUCCUGGUGGAGUUGUUUGGGGUUUCCUAGUGCUUCCUGUAUAAGCCAUUUUAGAUUGUAUACCAGGCAUCCCCUCCUCCUAACAGCAAAGCAGGAAGAAAGCAGCUUUCUGAGAGAAUGAACCUCUCCCCCACCCCUUUGAUGCAAGAAUUCCCUCAUCAGUUAAAUGGAGAAUCAGCUCACCCAGUGAAUUCUAAUGAGGCAGCCGGCUUAGCUGUCAGCAGUCCUCCCUGCUUAAGACGACAGCAAGCGAGGGAAAGGAUUGCACACUACGCGUACCAAGCAGUUUACCUUCCCAUGCCGAGGGACAGGAACAUCAGAACAGCUUCCAAUGGGGCUGGGCUCACUGACAAACCCAGCAGCAAGGAACACUGGAGCAAGUUACCCUGGGUUUAAGGACUCCUGCAAAAUAUGGCUGGUAUAGAAUGGCAAAUUUAAGAAAUUGAUUAAGAUUCAUCCUGAUUAAUCUGAUGAAAAUCUGGGUUUUGAAAUAUAGAUAUAUCUAGGAACUAAAUUGCCCUAAAAUAAGAUACAGGAAAUAUAUAGAUAUACAAAAGCACCCUUUGGAUGCUGGCUCUGAAUUGAAAUGGGAAACAUUUCAAUUUUAGUAUUAAGGGCAACGAGUGAAGGUCCGUUUUGCUAUUAGUUGAGAAAGCAGGGAAACCACUUACAAUGACGACGCUGAGAAAUCCAUAAACAAGGCUGGAAGCAAAGUGGCAGGGGUCCUAGACUGACCUUGGCCACUGGUUCUGUUGCUUGAGAAAAAACAGAUAAGCACCAGGCCUAUGCUUCUGAAACAAGGGAAGACAGUGAAAUGUCAGAUGGACACGUACCCCAGGAAUAAGCAUGGCACAUCUUGCAAAAGCAUCAAUCUUGAUAACUUUAAAUUAUGCUUCUUUUUAAUUUGAAAAUCGACUUUGUGAGAUAGAAAAAAAAAUUUAAGUGUACAUGAGUUUUAGCAAAUGUAAAUACCCAUACAAACACCACCACAAUCAAAACAAGGCAAAUUUCCUCAUCAUCUUCCAAAUUUUCCUUCUGCUUGUUCACAGUUAGUACCCCUUCAAUGUGCUCCUUUGCAUCUGGCUUCUUUUCUUCACCAUAAGUUUUGAGAUUCAUCCAUGUUGUUUUGUGCAUCAGUUCUUUCUUUUUUAUUGCUAUGUAGUAUUCCACUGUAAGAACAUAGCAGAAUUUUUUUAAACCAUUUCUCAUGUUGAUAAAAAUUCAGGUUGUUUCAAGUUUUGGCUGUUAGGAAUAAGGCUCCUAGAAUAUUUGUGUACAAGUUUUUAUGUGGACACGUUUCAUUUCUCUUGGGUAAAUAUCAAGGAGCAAAAUAACUGAGUCUUAAGAUAAGUCUAUGUUUAAUUUUAUUGAAAACUGAUAAACUGUUUUCCAAAGUGGUUCUAUCAUUUUAUACUCCCACUAGCCAUGACUUAUAUUAAAUGCAAAUGGAGUUGAGCACCAUCAUAUAUGGGGAUUCUACAUCCAGUAUGUAAGCACUAUUCAAUUUCCUAUGAAAAAACUCUUAAGGAAUUCACCAAAGUAUCAUAUGCAUGUUUAGGAGUUUGCAGCUCUGUGCUGUGGGUAUGCAUGCAUAUUGCACAUUCAAAAAUAUGCAAGUGUACCUGUAUAUUAUUUAUAGUAAUAGGUAACUGAUGUGGUUUGGCUGUGUCCUCACCCAAAAUCUCAUCUUGAAUUAUAAUCCCCAUAAUCCCCACGUGUCAACGGCAGGACCAGGUGGAGGUAAUUGAAUCAUGGGGGCAUUUUCCCCCAUGCUAUUCUCAUGAUGAUGAGUGAGUCUCACAAGAUCUGCUAAGCAUCUGGCAUUUCCCUGCUUGCACUCAUUCUCUCUCUUGCCACCCUGUAAAGAGGUGCCUUCUGCCAUGACUGUAACUUUCCUGAGGCCUCCCAAGCCAUGCAGUAUUCUAAGUUAAUUAAACCUCUUUUCUUUAUAAAUUAUCCAGACUAUGGUUAUUUCUUCAUAGCAACAUGAGAAUGAACUAAUACAGUAAAUUGGUACCAAGGUAGUAGGGCACUGCUACAAAGAUACAUGAAAAUAUAGAAGCAACUUUGGAACUGGGUAACAGGCAGAAGUUGGAAUAGUUUGGAGGGUUCAGAGGAAGACAGGAAAAUGUGGGAAAGUUUGGCACUUCCUAGAGAUUUGUUGAAUGGCUUUGCCCAAAAUGCUGAUAGUGAUAUGGACAAUGAAGUCCAGGCUGAGGUGGUCUCAGAUGAAGAUGAGAAACUUGUUAGGAACUGGAGUAAAGGUCACUCUUGCUAUUCCUUAGGAAAAAGACUGGAGGCUUUUUGUCCUUGCCCUAGAGAUCUGUGGAACUUUGAAGUUAAGAGAGAUGAUUUAGGGUAUCUGGUGGAAGAAAUUUCUAAGUGACAAAGUGUCCAAGAAGAGGCAGAGAAUAAAAAUUUGGAAAAUUUGCAGCCUGGAGAUGCAACAGAAAAUAAAAGCCCAUUUUCUGGGAAGAAAUUCAAGCCCACUGCAGAAAUUUGCAUAAGUAACGAGGAGCCAAAUGUCAAUUACCAGGACAAUGGGGAAAAUAUCUCCAGGGCAUGUCAGAGACCUUCACAGCAGCCUCUCCCUUCACAAGCCCAGAGGUCUAGGAGGGAAAAAUGGUUUCCUGGGCUGGGCCCAGGGUCCCCCUGCUCUGUGCAGCCUUGGGACAUGGUGUCCUGAGUCCCAGCUGCUUGAGUCCCAGCUGUGGCUAAAAGGGGCCAAAGUACAGUUCAGGCUGUUGCUUCAGAUGGUGCAAGCCCCAAGCCUUGGCGGCUUAAAUGUGCUGUUGGGCUUGUAGGUGCACAGAAGUCAAGAACUGAAGUUUGGGAACCUCCACCUAGAUUUCAGAGGAUGUAUGGAAACACCUGGAUGUCCAGGCAGAAGUUUGCUGCAGGAGUGCAGCCCUGAGGAGAACAUCUGCUAGGGCAGUGUGGAAGAGAAAUGUGGGUUUGGACCUCCCACAUAGAGUCCCCACUGGGGCACUGCCUAGUGCAGCUGCGAGGAGAGGACCACCAUCCUCCAGACCCCAGAAUGGUAGAUCCACUGAGAGUUUGCACCGUAUGCCUGGAAAAGCCACAGACACUCAACACCAGCCCAUGAAAGCAGCUGGGAGAGGGGCUGUAGCCUGCAAAGCCACAAUGGCAGAGCUGCCCAAGGCCAUGGGGGCCCACCUCUUGCAUCAGCAUGAUCUGGAUGUGAGAAAUGGAAUCAAAGGAGAUCAUUUGGAACUUUAAGGUUUAUUGACUGCCCUAUUGGAUUUCAGACUUGCAUGGGGCCUGCAGUCCCUUUGUUUUGGCCAAUUUCUCCCAUUUGGAAUGGGUGUAUUUACCAAAUGCCUGUACCCCCAUCGUAUCUAAAAAGUAACUAACUUGCUUUCGAUUUUACAGGCUUAUAGGUGGAAGAGACUUGCCUUGUCACAGAUGAGACUUUGGACUUGGACUUUUGGGUUAAUGCCAGAAUGAAUUAAGACCUUGGGGGAUUGUUGGAAAGGCAUGAUUGUGUUUUGAAAUGUGAGGACAUGAGAUUUGGGAGGUGCCGGGGUUGGAAUUGUAUGGUUUGGCUAUGUCCCCACCCAAAAUCUCAUCUUGAAUUGUAAUCUCCAUAGUCCCCAAGUAUCAUGAGAUGGACUCAGAGAAAGGUAAUUGAAUCAUGGGGGCAUUUCCCCCUGCUGUUCUCAUGAUACUGAGUGAGUUCUUAUGAGAUCUGAUGUUUUAUAAGCAUCUGGCAUUUCCCCUGCUGUGAGUCAAUUAAACUUCUUUUCUUUAUAAAUUAC
rnacentral:lncRNA from 1 species